rnacentral:rRNA from 1 species
AUUGAACGCUGGCGGCAGGCCUAACACAUGCAAGUCGAACGGUAACAGGAAACAGCUUGCUGUUUCGCUGACGAGUGGCGGACGGGUGAGUAAUGUCUGGGAAACUGCCUGAUGGAGGGGGAUAACUACUGGAAACGGUAGCUAAUACCGCAUAACGUCGCAAGACCAAAGAGGGGGACCUUCGGGCCUCUUGCCAUCGGAUGUGCCCAGAUGGGAUUAGCUAGUAGGUGGGGUAACGGCUCACCUAGGCGACGAUCCCUAGCUGGUCUGAGAGGAUGACCAGCCACACUGGAACUGAGACACGGCCCAGACUCCUACGGGAGGCAGCAGUGGGGAAUAUUGCACAAUGGGCGCAAGCCUGAUGCAGCCAUGCCGCGUGUAUGAAGAAGGCCUUCGGGUUGUAAAGUACUUUCAGCGGGGAUGAAGGGAGUAAAGUUAAUACCUUUGCUCAUUGACGUUACCCGCAGAAGAAGCACCGGCUAACUCCGUG